rnacentral:rRNA from 1 species
UUAAAUUGAAGAGUUUGAUCAUGGCUCAGAUUGAACGCUGGCGGCAGGCCUAACACAUGCAAGUCGAACGGUAACAGGAAGCAGCUUGCUGCUUUGCUGACGAGUGGCGGACGGGUGAGUAAUGUCUGGGAAACUGCCUGAUGGAGGGGGAUAACUACUGGAAACGGUGGCUAAUACCGCAUAACGUCGCAAGACCAAAGAGGGGGACCUUCGGGCCUCUUGCCAUCAGAUGUGCCCAGAUGGGAUUAGCUUGUUGGUGAGGUAACGGCUCACCAAGGCGACGAUCCCUAGCUGGUCUGAGAGGAUGACCAGCCACACUGGAACUGAGACACGGUCCAGACUCCUACGGGAGGCAGCAGUGGGGAAUAUUGCACAAUGGGCGCAAGCCUGAUGCAGCCAUGCCGCGUGUAUGAAGAAGGCCUUCGGGUUGUAAAGUACUUUCAGCGGGGAGGAAGGUGUUGUGGUUAAUAACCACAGCAAUUGACGUUACCCGCAGAAGAAGCACCGGCUAACUCCGUGCCAGCAGCCGCGGUAAUACGGAGGGUGCAAGCGUUAAUCGGAAUUACUGGGCGUAAAGCGCACGCAGGCGGUCUGUCAAGUCGGAUGUGAAAUCCCCGGGCUCAACCUGGGAACUGCAUUCGAAACUGGCAGGCUUGAGUCUUGUAGAGGGGGGUAGAAUUCCAGGUGUAGCGGUGAAAUGCGUAGAGAUCUGGAGGAAUACCGGUGGCGAAGGCGGCCCCCUGGACAAAGACUGACGCUCAGGUGCGAAAGCGUGGGGAGCAAACAGGAUUAGAUACCCUGGUAGUCCACGCCGUAAACGAUGUCUACUUGGAGGUUGUGCCCUUGAGGCGUGGCUUCCGGAGCUAACGCGUUAAGUAGACCGCCUGGGGAGUACGGCCGCAAGGUUAAAACUCAAAUGAAUUGACGGGGGCCCGCACAAGCGGUGGAGCAUGUGGUUUAAUUCGAUGCAACGCGAAGAACCUUACCUGGUCUUGACAUCCACGGAAGAAUUCAGAGAUGGAUUUGUGCCUUCGGGAACCGUGAGACAGGUGCUGCAUGGCUGUCGUCAGCUCGUGUUGUGAAAUGUUGGGUUAAGUCCCGCAACGAGCGCAACCCUUAUCCUUUGUUGCCAGCGAUUCGGUCGGGAACUCAAAGGAGACUGCCAGUGAUAAACUGGAGGAAGGUGGGGAUGACGUCAAGUCAUCAUGGCCCUUACGACCAGGGCUACACACGUGCUACAAUGGCGCAUACAAAGAGAAGCGACCUCGCGAGAGCAAGCGGACCUCAUAAAGUGCGUCGUAGUCCGGAUUGGAGUCUGCAACUCGACUCCAUGAAGUCGGAAUCGCUAGUAAUCGUGGAUCAGAAUGCCACGGUGAAUACGUUCCCGGGCCUUGUACACACCGCCCGUCACACCAUGGGAGUGGGUUGCAAAAGAAGUAGGUAGCUUAACCUUCGGGAGGGCGCUUACCACUUUGUGAUUCAUGACUGGGGUGAAGUCGUAACAAGGUAACCGUAGGGGAACCUGCGGUUGGAUCACCUCCUUACCUUAAAGAA